GUGCCAGCAGCCGCGGUAAUACGUAGGGUGCGAGCGUUGUCCGGAAUUACUGGGCGUAAAGGGCUCGUAGGUGGUUUGUCGCGUCGUCUGUGAAAUUCCGGGGCUUAACUCCGGGCGUGCAGGCGAUACGGGCAUAACUUGAGUACUGUAGGGGUAACUGGAAUUCCUGGUGUAGCGGUGAAAUGCGCAGAUAUCAGGAGGAACACCGAUGGCGAAGGCAGGUUACUGGGCAGUUACUGACGCUGAGGAGCGAAAGCAUGGGUAGCGAACAGGAUUAGAUACCCUGGUAGUCCAUGCCGUAAACGGUGGGCGCUAGGUGUGAGGCCCUUCCACGGGCUUCGUGCCGUAGCUAACGUGUUAAGCGCCCCGCCUGGGGAGUACGGCCGCAAGGCUAAAACUCAAAGGAAUUGACGGGGGCCCGCACAAGCGGCGGAGCAUGUGGAUUAAUUCGAUGCAACGCGAAGAACCUUACCUGGGCUUGACAUGCACUAGAUCGCCUCAGAGAUGGGGUUUCCCUUUGUGGUUGGUGUACAGGUGGUGCAUGGUUGUCGUCAGCUCGUGUCGUGAGAUGUUGGGUUAAGUCCCGCAACGAGCGCAACCCUUGUCUUAUGUUGCCAGCAUUUGGUUGGGGACUCAUGAGAGACUGCCGGGGUUAACUCGGAGGAAGGUGGGGAUGACGUCAAAUCAUCAUGCCCCUUAUGUCCAGGGCUUCACACAUGCUACAAUGGUCGGUACAACGCGUGGCGAUACUGUGAGGUGGAGCGAAUCGCUGAAAGCCGGCCUUAGUUCGGAUUGGGGUCUGCAACUCGACCCCAUGAAGUCGGAGUCGCUAGUAAUCGCAGAUCAGCAAUGCUGCGGUGAAUACGUUCCCGGGCCUUGUACACACCGCCCGUCACGUCAUGAAAGUUGGUAACACCCGAAGCCGGUGGCCCAAACUUGUUAGGGAGCCGUCGAAGGUGGGAUCGGCGAUUGGGACGAAGUCGUAACAAGGUA
rnacentral:rRNA from 1 species